rnacentral:rRNA from 1 species
CCUACGGGUGGCAGCAGUGGGGAAUAUUGCACAAUGGGGGAAACCCUGAUGCAGCGACGCCGCGUGAAGGAAGAAGGUUUUCGGAUCGUAAACUUCUAUCAGCAGGGAAGAAGAAAGUGACAGUACCUGACUAAGAAGCCCCGGCUAACUACGUGCCAGCAGCCGCGGUAAUACGUAGGGGGCAAGCGUUAUCCGGAAUCACUGGGUGUAAAGGGUGCGUAGGCGGUAGGGCAAGUCAGAUGUGAAAGCCCGGGGCGCAACCCCGUGACUGCAUUUGAAACUGUCUUACUAGAGUGCAGGAGAGGAAAGCGGAAUUCCUAGUGUAGCGGUGAAAUGCGUAGAUAGUAGGAAGGGCACCCGUGGGGAAGGCGGCUUGCUGGACUGUAACUGACGGUGAGACACGAAAGCGUGGGGAGCGAACAGGAUUAGAUACCCGUGUAGUC